UGGCUAACUCCGUGCCAGCAGCCGCGGUAAUACGGAGAGGGCUAGCGUUAUUCGGAAUUAUUGGGCGUAAAGGGCGCGUAGGCGGAUUAAUAAGUUAAAAGUGAAAUCCCAAGGCUCAACCUUGGAAUUGCUUUUAAAACUGUUAAUCUAGAGAUUGAAAGAGGAUAGAGGAAUUCCUAGUGUAGAGGUGAAAUUCGUAAAUAUUAGGAGGAACACCAGUGGCGAAGGCGUCUAU
rnacentral:rRNA from 1 species